GAACGCACCUUGCGCCCUUUGGCUAUUCCGAAGGGCAUGCCUGUUUGAGUAUCAUGAACACCUCAACUCUCAUGGUUCGCCAUGAUGAGCUUGGACUCUGGGGGUCUUGCUGGCCUCAUGGUCAGCUCCUCUUAAAUAAAUCAGCUUUCCAGUGUUUGGUGGCAAUCACAGGUGUGAUAACUAUCUACGCUUGUGGUGUCCUCCCAGGUAACCUUCAGCAAUGGAGGUCACUGGAGCUAAUAAAUGCACAUCUCUUGUUGUAGGGAUGGCCUUUUAGAUGUUUGAUCUCAAAUCAGGUAGGACUACCCGCUGAACUUA
rnacentral:misc_RNA from 1 species